UUGCAGUUUCCACGAGGCCGCGGUCAUAUUUGCUGGGGUGACUUGUACGGCUCGGUAUGUGCUGUGAAGCGUGUGUCACAGCUUAACAGCCAGCAAACUCUACCAUGCCAGGCUGCUGCGUACCUUUGUGCACCAGCGCAACAGAGAAGGGUCAUAGGUGCCUUCGGUUUCCCCGUGACUCGGAACGCAGAAAAAAGUGGGAAAUUCAAGUGAGACGCGACUGUUGGAAAGCCACGGACAAUUCAAGAAUUAGCGAGGUAAGUGUCUUGCUUUCUAUUCAUGUAUUGGAUCCGCGCUUUAAGCGGCCUUCAUGCUUACAUUUAAUUUUAUCGUGAAGUUAGGCAACUUGACAACCUAAGCGGGAUAAAAAUGGGUUGCAGUUUGCCUCUCGUAUCCUCAGUGCAAUCCUUCCGCACCUACAGAUGGGUAUGGCAGCAAGACAGUUCCAGGUGUUAACUUGAACUGAAAUUAUUUCAUCUCUUAAGCAGCACAUAAACUUACUCCUGUUGAGUCUAUGCACCCAACGUUUGUAUGCAUGUGGCUGAUGAGGCUUCAGGCAGAUGAAAGCUUUGGUGAGCUGUAUAUAGGAUGUCAUUUUAUAUAUUCUCUGGCUGUCUUCCUGUGGUUUUGUGCAGUUAUGCAUUGGUAAUAAACCUUUCCUUUCUUUUUAAAA
rnacentral:lncRNA from 1 species